GACAGAGGGUGCAAACGUUGUUCGGAUUUACUGGGCGUAAAGCGCGUGUAGGCGGCCUUGCAAGUCGGAUGUGAAAGCCCACGGCUCAACCGUGGAAGUGCAUCCGAAACUGCAUAGCUUGAGUCUCGGAGAGGAAGGUGGAAUGCUUGGUGUAGAGGUGAAAUUCGUAGAUAUCAAGCAGAACACCUGCGGCGAAGGCGGCCUUCUGGACGAUGACUGACGCUGAGACGCGAAAGCGUGGGGAGCAAACAGGAUUAGAUACCCUGGUAGUCCACGCCGUAAACGAUGAGUGCUAGGUGUCACGGGCUUUGACCCUCGUGGUGCCGUAGCUAACGCAAUAAGCACUCCGCCUGGGGAGUACGGCCGCAAGGCUAAA
rnacentral:rRNA from 1 species